rnacentral:rRNA from 1 species
UACGUAGGGUGCGAGCGUUAAUCGGAAUUACUGGGCGUAAAGCGUGCGCAGGCGGUUCGUUGUGUCUGAUGUGAAAGCCCCGGGCUCAACCUGGGAAUGGCAUUGGAAACUGGCGAGCUAGAGUGUGGCAGAGGGGGGUGGAAUUCCGCGUGUAGCAGUGAAAUGCGUAGAGAUCGGGAGGAACAUCUGUGGCGAAGGCGGCCAUCUGGACCAGCACUGACACUGAGGCACGAAAGCGUGGGGAGCAAACAGG